ensembl:lncRNA
CUCCAGCAACCUCUAAAAGGCCUUUAUGUAUUAACGACAUUGACUCUUUGUGUUACAGAACACAAACAUUUUUCCUGUUCAUGCUUUGCUCAUUUUAUCCAUGUUUCUCCUUCCCUUUCUCCCUUUCUUUCUUGCUUCUCUCAGGACUAGGACUUAAACCCAGGACCUCACACAUACUAAGCACACAUUCUGUAUCUUAGCCCCCCCCCCUUUUUUUUGUUGUUUUUUGAGGCGGGGUUUCUCUGUGCCUUUGGAGGCUGUCCUGGAACUCGCUCUGUAGACCAGGCUGGCCUCGAACUCACAGAUAUCCGCCUGCCUCUGCCUCGAGUGCUGGGAUUAAAGGUGUGCACCACCACCGCCUGGCUGUGCUUGGUUUUUGAGUCAAGGUCUUUCACUGAAACUGCAGCUCACUGACCUGCUGGACCAGCAGGCUAGUGAGCUCCAGGGAGCUUCCUGUCUGAUGGGGGUUGUCCUUCUGCAUAUAUUGUUUCUCUUAUUGGUUAAUGAGUAAAACACUGUUUGGCCAAUGAGGCAGGAAGAUAGGUGGGGCUGGGAGACAAGGAGACUUCUGGGAAAGGUAAGCUGAGAGGGCCCAGCAGAAGAGUCGUUAUGCAGAGCCCAGGAACAGAGGCUGCUCCAGGCAUUCUCUGGUAAGCCAAGGACACAUGGAAAUACAUAGAUUAAUAGAAAUGGGUUAAUAAUUAAGACAGAGCUAGCCAAUAAGAAGCCCUAGACAUCGGCCAACAAUUUUAUAACUAAUAUAGCCUCUGUGUGCUUUAUUUGGGGCCAAACAGCUGCGGGAGGCUCAAGCAGCUCCCGGCCCUGGGAUUGAAGGGAGCAUAGAUAGCUGCACGGGUCUUCUAAGAUAGUGCUGGAGCUGAGGCUCAAGGCCUCAGGAUGGCAAUCCCUUUACCCUAGUCCCCGCAGAGAUAGGUCCCUUCAGAGAUAAGUCCCAUCUUAUCUCUGAAGUUACUGUUUCACUUUCCAGCACUGGGUCACUGUGAAAUUCAGUAAAUGAAUGCAACAUUGUAGUUUCGUUCUGUACGAGCUACCAUAGCUGAGUUUUCAGUUUGAGUGAGUGAGUUUACUAAGUAUAUGGAAACCAAAAGUAAAACAGGAAAUAGUGAGCAGCAGAGGAAGAGACACAGCAAAGAUAGCAAAACAUCACCAAUUCAGGGGCUGACAACAUCCCGCAAGAACUGACUGAGGAAACCCAAGAGAGCAGCCAGCUGGAGUUCCCGGUGAGUCUCCAGUGCAGGAGAGCGGUCCCUUCAGUGAACAGUGAGCUGCAGAAAAGCGUCCUCCUCAGAUGGGGUGCUGACAACCACCUCGCAGACACUGACUGCGUUAGCAGGUGCUGGCCGCAGGAGUUGCUGCCUGAGCCUUCUCUUCAUGGAUGAGAGUCCCAUGAGAUCUGCAGUAAUUAACGAUGCUUUAACCAUGGGAGGAAACUAAAUCAGGGUUUGUUUAAAACUAUUGUAUUUUUGUGUGAGUUUCUCUAAACGUCACACUGAAAUUCUAAGAUUGAUGAAGCCACCAUCACGCUGGGCACUGAACAGCCAAAGCCUGGAGGUCUACACUAAUGAGGAUGAAAGAAACAAAAAAGACAGCCAAUAUUCUGGCCCUUGCCCUCGAAAGUCAGCCACACCCCAGGAGAUUUACCCCUCUGGUAAAUCACACCUUCCCUUGAUCAGAGCGGCCAUGGUGUCUGUGGAGACUGGACUCUGCCCGGAACACAUCCUUCAAGAAGGAGGGCCAAUGAAGAGGGACAUUCCUUAUGCUUCCAAAGGAAGCCACAUUGUCAGAGGGGCCCUGGCCUAUCCCUGCAGAUGGUAUAACGGAUAGAUGAAAACCUCUUCUUGAGACUCUGAGGGGAAGCUGUUAGGUUGUCUUUAAAAAGAAAAAAAAAAAAAGGUUAAUCUUUUAUGUAGUCUCAAACACCAAAAAGGAAAAUACAGCCAAAGCAAUUCUAAAAGCAUAAGCAAUUAAAAAGAGACAACUCGUCAAAUUCCAUAACAUCACCCACUGGUUCACCUCUCCAAGAUUAAGCCCUAUUUUCCAGAAAAUGAAAAGCAAGAGAAAUUCCCAGAAUAGCGAAUCAAUUGAGAACAUACACUUUAUUUUCAGAAGGGACCCCAAAGGAACUUAGACAAAUGCUAGCGCAUGCCAGGCAGGCUCUCUUGAGCUCCUCUGCCCCCUUAAAUGAAUACCCAGAUCUGCCUCUUGAAGAAUUUUGAAAAACUGUUAUUCAACAAAGACAGUGGCCCAUCCUUCCCAGCCUGGACCUUGAGACAUGUUCUAUGGAGACUGCAUCUCCCUGCUUCAAUUUACUCUGAGUCCUUAUUUACUAGUCACCCGUGCCUUCCACAUUCCGGGACGUACAACUUCUAAUAAGGCUGCCUGAGGGAUGCCAAUCCCUGACCACCAUGACUUCCUUCUACCGAGGGCUGCUGUAUGAACCAAAAUAAUGCCACAAAUGUCUCUCUCUCUGAACCUAGGGGAGAGACCCAUCAGCCCUUUCAUCGAUAUUUCUACCCAGCUCCAGAGCACUGAAGAGCAGUCAUGGCCUAUAGAAUUGGGUUCCAGAUCCUUAAGGAGGGAAUAUUAUGAUUAAAAAAAACCAAAUGCAUACUUUAAAAUAAAUAUGUAAAAAUUUUACAGUUAAACUGAUAAGAAAAAAAAAACUAAAAAAGAUAAGAGAUCUUUCAUCUGGAUAUGAGAUAGCCAAGCUCGCCAGACAAAAGACAUGACUGUAUGAUUAAACAGCAAAGCCUUGCUAGAGCUAUUUUUUUUUAUUGCAUUUGACCCCCAAUGUAUUACACCAGUCCACCUCAGGUGUUAUAAAAUCAUUUAAUAUAUAUAGAAAUUGCCUUUACUACCACAUGAACAAGUUAUGGGCUGAAUAAAAUGGACCGUGUAUUAGCCAAGGGUCAGGUGUUGUUUGGACUCACCGGGGAGCUGGCUCUGAAGCGGGUCUGCUCUCUCCCAUUUCAACCCAAGCCUGUUUGUCUCAAAAUGUCCCCGGAUGACCUCUUGUCCUCCUAAUUCUAUUCAGGGAGGGAGGAGACCACCACAAGAACCCAUGGGAAAAGAUACCAAAACCACGGUGUCUUUGAGAAUAGCUGGGAGAUGAAGCAUUCCCAACAGGGGCCACUAGUGAAAGAACCUACAGAUGCUUAUAUCUGUGGAGAGGACCCAGGGGACCCUCAGCCCGGGGAACUUAAAUGGAUUGACAGCUUCACCUUCCCAGUCAGUUUCUGCCGAACCCUUGUAAACACCUGGCUUGAUGACUUUGUGUAUCUUAGCUCUUUGCCCUUUCUCUUGGAGCCUCACCCAAGGGGACACUGCUCUGCAGGGGACUCUGUCAAUCAGAAGUCGGACGACUACCUUAAUCGGGCUUCCUCCGCUGAUUGCUGCUGGAUGCUUGCAAACCCGGAUUUGAUCGUAAACUCCCGAUUCGACGGUGUUUUCAUAUCUACUGAUGUUUCUCUCUACAUACUCACUGAUGUUUAUUUUUCAGCCUUUGCUUGCUAAAUACUCAACAAACUUGCUCAUUUGAAAUAAAAGCACAACGGUCGUAGGUCAUCCUCUGAACUACACAGAACAGGUUUAACGGAUCACUGAAACUUACCAAGGCUUACAUAGACAAGAUCCUUCACCUAAAAUACAACUGGAAGGAUGUAGGAGAAUCUGUGGCCAGCCUACCCAUGCAGCAGGUGCCCAGGCCAGCAUGUGUGGCAAGUACUUCCUCCCUGAGCCAAGCCUGCCUCUACACCCAGAGACUGCAGACAGAGAGACACCUGACCCAGAGACACCAAUGAGGAAAGGACAUACAGCAGAGUCAGCGCCUGAGCCAAUGGGACCUUGGGAGGGACUAUAAAGGCAGACCUAACUUCCGGAAUAAACGAGUCUACAGCCUGCUCUGCUGCUCACUGACUCCCAGUGUCUGAGUUGUUGGUGCUGCGUCUUCUCACCCCUCCCCCAAGGGUGUCCGAGCAGGGUAACUCACAACAGGAGUGUGGGUCAAUGGUAGAGAACUUGCCCAGCAUGUACAAGGUCCUGUAUUCAAUCACUAGCACCAUAUAAAAGACACACACACACACACACACACACACACACACACACACACACACACACACACGACAGAAUUCAAACCUGCUUGAGUUCUUAGCCACUGUAUUUCAUACAGGUAACAAUCGAGACAUCGUGUUGCUGUUUGGAAACCCCCGACUUCAUGAGUACACGUCUCAGGAAUGAUUGUUGGGUGUGUGCCGGCUCCUGCUCAUUCCAGGAGGUGUGAAGACAGAAAGAGGCAGUCAGGCGGGAAGCUACUGGCUGUCGGAGGUCAGGCGUCACUCUACAGGUGGGUGAGUGACUCAUGUCCUGCCUGGGAAGUCAAGGAUUCGAAUUCUUCUCUUAGCAGAAGUAUGGGCAAUUACACUGACUUACCCCAAGGGGACAGAGCCGUGACAAUUGACUUCAAAGGAGACAGAGCUGUGACAAUAGACUUCACGAGUCCCCCUUGCCAUCAGACAGAAUGGAUUCUGGAAUUUGGAACGGGUGCAAUCUGCAAGUGGGGUUUAAAUACUCCGUUUUAUUCAUUUCCAACUCCCCAGCUCCUGCCUCACCCCAUGACUGGCUCUUUCUGUUUGGCCCUGGCUGUCCUAGAUCUCACUCCCUAGACCAGGUUGACCUUGAACUCACAACAGCCCCUCUGUUUCAGCCUCUUGAGUGCUGGGAUUAAAGGUGUGUGCCCCCAUCACCAGCUGGAACCCUGCUUUUUACACAGGGCAUUUCUGGAGUAAGGGUGACUCUCUGGUCAGUGGGGUCUUAAGGUGGCUACUGGCCAGGUGACACUUGUGAGGUCUCACUGUGAUGUAUGUACCAGCUCACUUUAUAUUUCUGACGGCGUAUGUGGACAGCUGCAACCUGUCAGCUUUUCAUUCAACAACGGAGGGACUGUUUUGGGGGCAGCACAGUCCUGGUUGUUUGCUGAAACCCUGUGGACACCGUCUAAAAAGAUAAAGAGAAGGGUAGGGAGAUGGCCAGUGGGGGAAAGCUUUGGGCACGGCCUGACGACUUGAGUUUGACCCCUGAAACUAUAUAAAAGGUGAGAUUUGGUGGCAAGAAUCUGUAAUUCCAGCAAGGGGGAGGUAGGAGGCAGAGACAAGAGAUCCUCUUGGAAGUUUGAGAACGCGUUAGCUUGGAGUUUACAUCAUGGCAGCAGAAACAGAGAGAGCCGGCCUCCACAAGGUAAGGAGAGGAGCAACGCUUGAACCCCUCCCCUGGAGUAAAUAAAUAGAUUUACAUUUAAAAGAUCAAGAAGAACCUCAGGGUCUGGGGAUGGCAGAGUGUUGCCAAAUCAUUGACCUGGAAGAAAGUCCUUGAAAGAAUUCUUUAAAAAUGCUGAGGCAGGGGAGGCUCCUGUCUGAAAUCCCAGCACCAGAGAGGCUCCAAUAGGGUGAUCCCAGCAAGUGAGAGGCCAGCUUGGGAUACCCAGGGAGUUGCAGCCAACCCUCAGAAGCAAGUGAGACACUGUCUAUCUAGAAAGAAGGGGAGAGAAUUCUGCAGGUGGAGCUCAGUUGGUAGAGCGCUUGCCUAGCAUGGCUGAGGCCCUGGGUUCGAUCCCCAGCCCUGCAUAGAAUGGGCGCCUUAGUGCAAACUUGUCACCUAGCACUAGGGGGGCGAAGGUGGGAAGGUAGGGAGACCAAGCUUGUGAAGCCAGCUGCAGUUAGAAUACAGGAGACACCCUCUCAAAAAAAAAAAAAAAUGUUGGAGUGAGAGGGGAAGAGAGAGAGAACAAGAAAUCUAGCGUUUGAAACUGUCCCUGUUGGUGACUUUAGAAAAACGUGACGAGUACACACAACAGAAGUGAACCAAUUCCAGAUGAGACCACGAGGAGCUGGAGAAACGGUUAACCUGUGCAUUUUUCAUACUUUGCUUCUGUCUUAUGAACACCUCCCAUGUGGUGGAAAUCUGUGUCUACAAAACAGUUUUUCUUUGGCAACAGCCCAUUUGGUCAGGGCGGGGCUUCUAGGAUCAGCAAUGGGGACUUCAGCCUGCCCUGUCCUUCCCUCCCCCACAGUUUGCUUCUCAUGGGGGUGUUCCUUGAUUUUUGUGCCCACAUAACUCUCCAGGGUUUCCCUUGUGGCUGGUUAGUGUGAGGCAAAUUUGGUGGCACCCCACCUGUGACCCCAUGGUUGUCCUUUUGGUAUUGUUUAAAGCCAAGGUUGUGGUGAUACCUUUCUUGCACAAAUAAAGCCUGUCUGGGGGGUCAGAGAACGGAACUUGCUACUAGCUAACCAUAGAGGUCUGGAGGUCUGUACAGACAGACAGGAAAUGAGGUAUCUGGGCAGAAUCAGGAUAUAAGCAGGCACGAACAGGAAAUCACUCUCUUUUCUGCUGAGAUGCUUAGGAGGUAAGGUGUGCUGUGGUUUGUUCCUUCUCUCUGAUCUCUCAGCAUUUCCCUUUAUAUCUGACUCUGGAUUUUUAUUAUCUAGACCAAUUAAGAACUCUAUUUAUACUUGGUCAUGGUGAGGUCACGGUGGGGUUCCUGAUUGACCCAUUCUUAGGCUGCAGAGUCUUCUGGGACACUUCACCCCAGGAGCACGGUCCUUAUUCAAUUGUAUUUUGUUGGCUCCCAUCUGCCAAGACCUUUCUGCAUCAGGAUCCUCUCCUUUACUAAUUAACUGUCUUUCCCAUCUAGCUUUCUGCCAUCUGUAAAUUUGAUAAGCCUGAGAGUAUUUAUCCAAGUCUCAUAAAAAUGUUAAGCAACUGUGGCCAAGUUUCUAGAGUCAAGGUGAUCUUGAGUGAGUUCCUCCUGGCUUGCAUGAAUCCAGGAUGGACUCUUUUGGGGUCUGACAUUUUAUAAAACCCUCUUUUUACCCCUGUGAGAUAUGACAUUCAGCUUUGCUCUUGAAGUAGACCCCAGUUCAAUCCUAGUUUUAAAAUACUAGCUACUGCCUGGCAGUGGUGGCGCAAGCCUUUAAUCCCAGCACUCAGGAGGCAGAGGUAGGCAGAUCUCUGAGUCUACAGAGUGAGUUCCAGGACAGCCAGGGUUGUUAUACAGACAAACCAAAAGAUACUAGCUCUCACCAGGUAUCACCAUCACUCACACUAGUGUUUGAUGUGGUGAUAUUUUGUUUGUGACCUAACAAAUAAAGCUUGCCUGAAGAUCAGAGUGCAAAGUUAGCCACACUAGUUAGCACAGGCCAGCAUGGUGGCACACACCUUUGGUCACAGCACUUGGGAGGCAGAGGCAGGCAGAUCUCUGUGAGUUUGAGUUCCAGGACAGCCGGGACUGCAGGACUGUUACACAGAGAAACCCUGUCUCAAAAACAAACAAACAAACAAACAAACAAAAUAACUGGAGUCAAUGAAGACAACAAUCCUUAUUCAAUUUGAAGGAAAAGAAAAACCAGGAAAAGAUAAUAUGGGCUGGGGAACCAUGACAGUAAUCCAGCAGAUUUGCAAAAGACCAAACGGAACUCCCCAAAAUAAAGUUUGUAAUAACUAAACUUUAAAAUCCAAUGGAAAUGUUUACUGAAAAUUCACACAGCUGAAGGAAGGGUUAGAGACUCUGCAGACUGUAGCACAGGGCACUCAGAAAACAUAGAAGAGAAGCGAAGAGACACGGAGAGUUGUAGAGUGAAAAAGCCCAGAAUUCCUUUAAUUGUGCUUCCAGUCGGAAAAAAGAAAAAUACUACUUGAAGAGAUAAUUGCUGAAAAAUGUUGAGAGCUUACCAGAUGCUUCAACCCCCGGGUUAGAGGAUGCUAAACGGGAUGAUAAAGAGAAAAGAAAUCCAGACCUAGAAUUAUCAUUGUUAAAUUUAACAAACCCAAACCAAGCAAGAUCGUUAAAAACAAAACAAAACAACAACAAAGUGCCAGAAAGAAACAGACAAGGACCAGAUUCUCAGUGGUAGCGGAGGAGGGAGCCAGGAGCCUGUGAACAAAGCCAGUGAAUUUAAAUUGCCAAGCUGAAAUUCUGUAUCCAGCAAGGUAUCUUCUGAGAGUAUGGGCAAAAUCAAGUCAUUUGUAUUUUAUUUUUAAAGUGCUUUUACUAGCACAUUGAUUAUACAGAAUAAUAAAUAUGCAUAAUAAGAAUAGGUCUCAU